rnacentral:lncRNA from 1 species
GUCAAUAAUUGACCAAAAGUUAACCUAAGUGAAAAAGAUGUAAAUCAACAAUCAAAGUCUCAUGGUUAACCUAAACAUGUAAUAUAAUGAUCAAAUAUGAAUGAAUGAACUUGCAAAUCAAGAUACCACAUGACUUGAACUAAAAAAUGUCAUUUUGCACCAAUGAUCAUGUCAUGCUAUCAGAUAUAUUAUACCGAUGACAAGCAAAUCCUAAGAUAAACUGUGGAUCAACCAACUUUGAUCAUCUGAAUCAUAUUGAAUGAAAUUAAUUAAGAGGUAUUGAUGAAUCAAGAAUCAAAGCCCAAUGCCCUUAUGAGACCUCAAACAACUAGACCAAAAUAAUAAUGCUAUAUUGUAAUCAUAAGUAAGGAAUCAAGGACCAUGAGCCUAUGCAAUUGAAAACAUCAGGAGACCCGCUUCCAAGAGACGCAUUUUACAAAAUCAGAACAGAUCUUGGAAUUCUAAGUGAAAGUGAUAUUUAAUCAAGUCAAAAUCCUUGAG